GAUGAACGCUGGCGGCGUGCUUAACACAUGCAAGUCGAACGAAGCACUUUAUUUGAUUUCCUUCGGGACUGAUUAUUUUGUGACUGAGUGGCGGACGGGUGAGUAACGCGUGGGUAACCUGCCUUGUACAGGGGGAUAACAGUUGGAAACGGCUGCUAAUACCGCAUAAGCGCCCAGCAUCGCAUGAUGCAGUGUGAAAAACUCCGGUGGUAUAAGAUGGACCCGCGUUGGAUUAGCUAGUUGGUGAGGUAACGGCCCACCAAGGCGACGAUCCAUAGCCGACCUGAGGGGGUGACCGGCCACAUUGGGACUGAGACACGGCCCAAACUCCUACGGGAGGCAGCAGUGGGGAAUAUUGCACAAUGGGCGAAAGCCUGAUGCAGCGACGCCGCGUGAGCGAAGAAGUAUUUCGGUAUGUAAAGCUCUAUCAGCAGGGAAGAUAAUGACGGUACCUGACUAAGAAGCACCGGCUAAAUACGUG
rnacentral:rRNA from 1 species